rnacentral:rRNA from 1 species
AGAGAUGCACUGGGUGUAAAGCGUGCGCAGGCGGUUUUUGUAAGACAGAGGUGAAAUCCCCGGGCUCAACCUGGGAACUGCCUUUGUGACUGCAAGGCUGGAGUGCGGCAGAGGGGGAUGGAAUUCCGCGUGUAGCAGUGAAAUGCGUAGAUAUGCGGAGGAACACCGAUGGCGAAGGCAAUCCCCCUGGGCCUGCACUGACGCUCAUGCACGAAAGCGUGGGGAGCAAACA